UGGCGGGUCUUGGAUGAGAUCUCCAGCCGCCCGGCAGCGUCAAACCUGGCUCACCUUCCCCGGUGCCAGGCGGGACGCGGCUCGGCGCGGAGGGGGAUCUGAUCCAAGAACGCACCAACC
rfam:Arthrobacter sp. ERGS1:01, complete genome.